UCGGGAAUUUUGGGCAAUGGGCGAAAGCCUGACCCAGCAACGCCGCGUGAAGGAUGAAGUAUUUCGGUAUGUAAACUUCGAAAGAAUAGGAAGAAUAAAUGACGGUACUAUUUAUAAGGUCCGGCUAACUACGUGCCAGCAGCCGCGGUGAUACGUAGGGAGCUAGCGUUGUUCGGAAUCACUGGGCGUAAAGCGCACGUAGGUGGGCAGUUAAGUCAGGGGUGAAAGCCCGAGGCUCAACCUCGGAAUUGCCUCUGAUACUGGCUGUCUAGAGUUCGAGAGAGGUGAGUGGAAUUCCUAGUGUAGAGGUGAAAUUCGUAGAUAUUAGGAAGAACACCGGUGGCGAAGGCGGCUCACUGGCUCGAUACUGACACUGAGGUGCGAAAGCGUGGGGAGCAAACAGGAUUAGAUACCCCAGUAGUCCCUGAGCGGGCUGGCAAGGCGCAU
rnacentral:rRNA from 1 species